rnacentral:hammerhead_ribozyme from 1 species
AUCCAGGUGACGAGUCCCAAAUAGGACGAAAUGUGCAUCCUAGAU